UACACCUCGUCGCCUCCUCUCAUCCUCUAAGAGUCUGCUGGGUAGCUUCCCCUCAUCUGGCGGAUUUUGAAAAGAAGAAGAAGACCAAGGGACUCAUUUCGUACACACCAGCCUCCCAGUGAACACUUUGGAUAACAAUGAAGGACUCCGUACUUGUCGGGACUUUCCUCUUCUUUGCUUUAGUCGUCGUCAGUAGUGAUUGCCGCAGAGUGAAGAGACAAGACUUAAUCCCGUUCCCAAGAGUUGGCAAAAGGGCUUGGACCAGAGAAGGUGACGUCACUGAGGCCGGCAGAGAAAUGGCUACCAUAGUAGAGCGAGUUUUGGACCAGACUCCCUUCAGAGCGGUGGGGACUGAGCCAGACAGUUGGGCGGCCCCUCUUUCGGCAUACCUUCAGGAUUCCAAACUCAAAGGUCUGGACACCACCGAAGACAUCCAAACUCUUCUGAAAUCCCUUCUGGGUCGAAACACGGGUGUUGCCAGCCACCUUUCCAACAGUGCCAGCGCCCGUGACGUCAAAGUCCCCGGGCGAGUAGCAAGGAAACGCCUUAGGACCUCUGGGGAUCCCUUCCAAUCAGCGGGCUUCAGUUCCCUACUGGUGGGCCGCCUUCUUGAAAACAUAAAAGAAAAGAUGCCGGACGAACUCACGAACUACUUGCAAGGACACUUGAACAGUCAGGAUGUCUCUGUGGAAUAAACUGCGUUGGGAAGGACUGUCACUGUCACGCUCCACAACUUCUACUUUUCAUGCAGAUUUCCGGGACGGACAGAUGGUUAUGUGGCUGAUCUCUUUAACAGUUUUCUAGCAAAAGACAAUAUUUGUGUGAUUUGAGCCUUCAUUCCAUUCUGUUUCUCAUAUUUCCACGUUUUGCCGGUAGAAAAGAAUGAUCUGAAACCUUGGUACUCUAUGCAGGAAUCUGCAUCUCUCAGUGGAAAAUCAAUAUUUAUUCCAUGAAACCUCCUGAAAUGUUAAAACCUUAGAAAUAAAUAUAUUUAUGAAGAGUAAA